rnacentral:lncRNA from 1 species
AACCGGUGCCGCACAUGUGCGUCAGAUUCAGUCGCUGUGAGCCUCUUCUCCACUGGCACUCAGGUAACAGCAAAAUCAGAGUGCUCGCAAGGACAACUGCACACAUGGUCCAGCCAGCCACUAGUGGAAAGCAAGCAAGCCAAGAGGCAACAUCGACCUUGCAACAGCGUUGCUUUAUUCCGGCUCAAGUCCGACAAGUGCACUCAGGAUGAUGCGACUGAUGGGGGUGCAAGUCAUGAGUGACCAGGCUUUCUUCAAUUACCAGAGAGCAUAUCUUCUUCCUGAUGUCACCAUGAACCGUGAAAUCAACGAGGUGAAGUGAAAAUUGUAAUCUAGGGGUACGGAUGGAUCAAUGAUCCAGGAGCAGACAAAGGUGUGGGAGGAGCACCUAGAGAAACUUCUGACGCAGCUGCGCGACACCAACUUACAGCUUUGGGGCGAUGGGCGGUGCAAUUCCACUGGUCACAGUGCCAAAUACCUGACGUACUCCUUCCUGUGCCCCGAUUCAAGGAACAUCACCCACACAGAGCAAGUAGCGAACAAGUGAAGGCGAGUGCCGUGAUGGAGAAGAAAGGCCUCAUCAGAGGUCUGAAAUUUCUUUCGGACCAUGACAUGGCGGUGAGGUCACUCACGACAGACUGCCACAGAGGCAUCAAGAAGUACUUACGGCUGCAGUGCCCAGGAAUCGGUCACUACUGUGAUGUGUGGCAUGUUGGAAGAGGCAUCAGGAAAAAGCUGGCUGCUGCUUCCCGAAGAGCUGGAUGUGCCGUCAUCACAGAAUGGACGCAAUCGAUAGUCAACCAUCUAUUGGCCUCGAGAUCUUGGAGUGGCCCCCUCUCGCGUGUGACGUCAGAGCGGGGACUCCGCUCUCAACCGCGCUGCAGCAGCCGCUGCUCCUGUAU